AGUGAACGCUGGCGGUGGGCCUAACACAUGCAAGUCGAACGGCAGCACAGUAAGAGCUUGCUCUUACGGGUGGCGAGUGGCGGACGGGUGAGGAAUACAUCGGACUCUACUUUUUCGUGGGGGAUAACGUAGGGAAACUUACGCUAAUACCGCAUACGACCUACGGGUGAAAGCAGGGGAUCUUCGGACCUUGCGCGAUUGAAUGAGCCGAUGUCGGAUUAGCUAGUUGGCGGGGUAAAGGCCCACCAAGGCGACGAUCCGUAGCUGGUCUGAGAGGAUGAUCGGCGGCACUGGAACUGAGACACGGUCCAGACUCCUACGGGAGGCAGCAGUGUGGAAUAUUGGACAAUGGGCGCAAGCCUGAUCCAGCCAUACCGCGUGGGUGAAGAAGGCCUUCGGGUUGUAAAGCCCUUUUGUUGGGAAAGAAAAGCAGCAGGUUAAUACCCCGCUGUUCUGACGGUACCCAAAGAAUAAGCACCGGCUAACUUCGUG
rnacentral:rRNA from 1 species